rnacentral:lncRNA from 10 species
CGGAAAAGCAAAGAGGAGCAGCACACGCGUCUUUGUAUGAAUAAACAAAUCGUGGAUACAACAACAACGGAAUACUACUCGGGAAUGAACCAUUAAUACAUAGAACAACACAGAUGACCUCAAAAACACGCUGAGCAGAAGAAGCCAUACAAAAAGAAUACUUACUGUGAUUUUAUUAAUAUGCAAUUCUAAUAAAGAAAAACUAAUCUGUAGUGACAGAAAACAGGUCAGUGGCUGUCUGUGAACAGGAGUGGCGACUGGGAGAGGGGAACUUGACUGAGAAGGACACAAUAUCCCCAACUUUUGGGGAUAUUGGAAAUGAUUGAUGUAUAGAUUUGUCGAAGUAUUUUAAAAUCUACACUUAAAUCUGGUACAUUUUAUUGAAUAUAAAUUGUGCCUUAUUCAAGGUGAUAUUUAAAAAAAUCGUAGCUAUAGAUGGCUAACUUCACAAUACAUCCUAGCCAUAAUACCUAUUCAGAGAGAUCUACAUCAUUUUCUAUACUUAAUGUAGCUCAGAUUUGUCUUUUACUUCAAAAACAAGAGAUUUAAUGCGUAUCAAAGGAAGAAAAAAAACUUUCUAAAGAUGUGCCAGCUUCCUUUCA